rnacentral:rRNA from 1 species
UACGUAAGUGGCGAGCGUUAUCCGGAAUUACUGGGCGUAAAGCGUGCGUAGGCGGUUUAGUGUGUGGGAAUUGAAAGCCCGGGGCUCAACUCCGGAUCCGGUUCCCAAACUGCUAGACUCGAGCGUAUCAGAGGACAGUGGAAUUCCCGGUGUAGCGGUAAUAUGCGUAGAUAUCGGGAGGAACACCAGUGGCGAAGGCGACUGUCUGGGGUAUUGCUGACGCUGAGGCACGAAAGCCAGGGGAGCGAACGGG